rnacentral:lncRNA from 1 species
ACAACACAUUUUAACAGAUAUCCUAACGGUGUGUGGCUGUAGUUGGCAUCUACAAGUAGCACUGUAUUUAACUUUUAGAUGUCAGGGUUAAAAGUCCCUGAAGUUUUGGAAGGAAGAGAUUCUAUCGAAUGCUGGCGGUUGGAGCUCUUGGGACGCAAAUUGAUAACAUCAAAUUUCACGCUUUUCAGGAUCAAUGCUCCCUAAAGAGAAACAAUCAUCAACAUACCGGUCAUAGAAUGGCGGGUUGAAAGGUUGGACUACAUCAGCUUCUAAUUUAGCCAUGAAAAUAUUUGCAAGGACUAGAGAUAGUGGGUUGCCCAUGCUGCAUCUUUCAAUUUGUUUAUAUAGCUUGUCAUUAAAACUGAAAACUGUGUUCUUGGUGACAUUACAGAGAAGGCGUCUGAAGAGUAACUUUGAGAUAGAUAGAUAGAUAGAAACUUUAUUAAUGUG